GAUGAACGCUGGCGGCGUGCCUAAUACAUGCAAGUCGAGCGAACGGACGAGAAGCUUGCUUUUCUGAUGUUAGCGGCGGACGGGUGAGUAACACGUGGAUAACCUACCUAUAAGACUGGGAUAACUUCGGGAAACCGGAGCUAAUACCGGAUAAUAUUUUGCACCGCAUGGUUCAAAAGUGAAAGACGGUCUUGCUGUCACUUAUAGAUGGAUCCGCGCUGCAUUAGCUAGUUGGUAAGGUAGCGGCUUACCAAGGCAACGAUGCAUAGCCGACCUGAGAGGGUGAUCGGCCACACUGGAACUGAGACACGGUCCAGACUCCUACGGGAGGCAGCAGUAGGGAAUCUUCCGCAAUGGGCGAAAGCCUGACGGAGCAACGCCGCGUGAGUGAUGAAGGUCUUCGGAUCGUAAAACUCUGUUAUUAGGUGAGAACAUAUGUGUAAGUAACUGUGCACAGCUUGACGGUACCUAAUCAGAAAGCCACGGCUAACUACGUG
rnacentral:rRNA from 1 species